AACGAACGCUGGCGGCAGGCUUAACACAUGCAAGUCGAGCGCCCCGCAAGGGGAGCGGCAGACGGGUGAGUAACGCGUGGGAAUCUACCCAUCUCUACGGAAUAACGCAUGGAAACGUGUGCUAAUAUCGUAUACGUCCUUCGGGAGAAGGAUUUAUCGGAGAUGGAUGAGCCCGCGUUGGAUUAGCUAGUUGGUGGGGUAAAGGCCUACCAAGGCGACGAUCCAUAGCUGGUCUGAGAGGAUGAUCAGCCACACUGGGACUGAGACACGGCCCAGACUCCUACGGGAGGCAGCAGUGGGGAAUAUUGGACAAGGGGCGCAAGCCUGAUCCAGCCAUGCCGCGUGAGUGAUGAAGGCCCUAGGGUUGUAAAGCUCUUUCACCGGUGAAGAUAAUGACGGUAACCGGAGAAGAAGCCCCGGCUAACUUCGUGCCAGCAGCCGCAGUAAAAC
rnacentral:rRNA from 1 species